rnacentral:rRNA from 1 species
GAUGAACGCUGGCGGCGUGCUUAACACAUGCAAGUCGAGCGAGAAGUUUUGAAAAGAUUCUUCGGAUGAAAUUUAAAAUGGAAAGCGGCGGACGGGUGAGUAACGCGUAGGCAACCUGCCCCAUACAAAGGGAUAGCAUUUGGAAACGAAUAUUAAUACCUUAUGAAACUUAACUAGUGCAUGCUAGGUAGGUCAAAGAUUUAUCGGUAUGGGAUGGGCCUGCGUCUGAUUAGCUAGUUGGUGAGGUAACGGCUCACCAAGGCGACGAUCAGUAGCCGACCUGAGAAGGUGAACGGCCACAUUGGAACUGAGACACGGUCCAAACUCCUACGGGAGGCAGCAGUGGGGAAUACUGCACAAUGGGGGAAACCCUGAUGCAGCAACGCCGCGUGAACGAUGAAGGCCUUUGGGUCGUAAAGUUCUGUUCUAGGUGAUGAAAACUGACAGUAACCGAGGAGAAAGCCCCGGCUAACUCCGCG